CAGCCGCCGCGGUAAUACGUAGGGUCCGAGCGUUGUCCGGAAUUAUUGGGCGUAAAGGGCUCGUAGGCGGUUUGUCACGUCGGGAGUGAAAACUCAGGGCUCAACCCUGAGCGUGCUUCCGAUACGGGCAGACUAGAGGUAUUCAGGGGAGAACGGAAUUCCUGGUGUAGCGGUGGAAUGCGCAGAUAUCAGGAGGAACACCGGUGGCGAAGGCGGUUCUCUGGGAAUUACCUGACGCUGAGGUGCGAAAGCGUGGGGAGCAAACAGGAUUAGAUACCCGAGUAGUCCCUGUCUCUUAUAC
rnacentral:rRNA from 1 species